rnacentral:rRNA from 1 species
UACGUAGGGUGCGAGCGUUGUCCGGAAUUAUUGGGCGUAAAGAGCUUGUAGGCGGUUUGUCGCGUCUGCUGUGAAAAUCCGGGGCUCAACCCCGGACUUGCAGUGGGUACGGGCAGACUGGAAUGUGGUAGGGGAGACUGGAAUUCCUGGUGUAGCGGUGGAAUGCGCAGAUAUCAGGAGGAACACCGAUGGCGAAGGCAGGUCUCUGGGCCACUACUGACGCUGAGAAGCGAAAGCAUGGGGAGCGAACAGG